GUAUCUUAUCUUGUUCAGUGUCAUUGUCCAUGUGUCAGUUGUUCAGUGCCAUGUGCUUUUGUUUAUGUUUUGUUCUGUAACCUGUGACCUGUUUGUGACCUGUAACCCCAUACUUACCUGUUGGUCAUGUGACCUUUCCUACCUGCCCAUGCAAUUCACCUGAGUGUAAAUCAGUUCUGGCAGACAGGUUGGAGGGAUUGACCAUAUGUAAAAGAUUCGCCUGCAGUUAUAUAUACUGGAUUAUCAGGAUUAUGUGGGAACCCUUGUCGCAUUGAUAGAGGUGUAAGAUUCUUCCAGCUAGUCUGAUGUCCACAAAUGGAAUAAUUAAAAGAAUGGAAACCAAGAACGUGUUUGUUGUAACGCCUCUGCCCAAAUCCCAUCCCUGUUUCACAAAGAUAUGAAAUACUGACCGGACAUGAUCUUCACACAUGUGUAAUUUUAAGUUUUGUUGGCUUUACGCCUUUUGGAACGGCUUGGCCCACGUGAUGGCAUUGCACUGCAUUUUACAACACACGGUGCACCAAUAUAUAAUUUAAAUGUUAGAGUGUGGCCAAUAACAGUAUUGCUCUUAAUCGAGAAAAUCCGGUCAUAUAUCUUUACAACAGACAUACCAGAGGUAAACCUAGGGAGACACAAUCGAUCGAUAGAGUGACGGAGGUAGCCUAGGGAGACACAAUCGAUAGAUAGAGUGACAGGUCAAUCUCAGCCUAGAGUUGUCGUUCCGUACACCGACUUUAUCUAAGCCAUGUUUUUAAAAAAUAAUAAAACUCAAUAAUCAA